GAUGAACGCUGGCGGCGUGCCUAAUACAUGCAAGUCGAGCGAACGGACGAGAAGCUUGCUUCUCUGAUGUUAGCGGCGGACGGGAGAGUAACACGUGUAUAACCCACCUAUCAGACUGGGAUAUCUUCGGGACACCGUAUCUAAUAGCGGAUAAUAUUUUGAACCGCAUUGUUCAAAAGUGAAAGACGGCCUUGCUGUCUCUUCUAGCUGGAUACGGGCUGCAUUAGCUGGUUGUUAAGGUCACGGCUUACCAAGGCAACGAUGCGUAGCCGACCUGAUAGGGUGAUCGGCCGCCCUGGAACUGGGCCACGGUCCAGACGACUACGGGAGGCAGCAGUCGGGAAUGUUCCGCAAUAGUCGAGAGCCUGACGGAGCGGGGGCGCGUGAGUUAUGAAGGCCCUGCGAUCGUGAAACUCUGUUACUAGGGGAGAACAUCUGUGUCAGUAACUGUGCCCAUCUUGACGGUAACUGAUCAGAAAGCCACGGCUAACUACGUG
rnacentral:rRNA from 1 species